GCGGGAGGCUGGGCUCCGCGCUGCGUCCCAGAAAUUGCCGGCAGAAGCUCCUAAGUGGUUUGCAGGCGGAACGUGUCGGGAAAUACGGAGGCUGCACAGAGCACUGCCCUCCGGGACUCGCAGGCGGAGAGAAGGCGGGAAAGAGCGUCAGCGUUUGCUCUCUGCGCCUGGAGCUUCGAGAAGAGGUGAUGGCACAAAGGAGCACUCGACUCCCUGCGCACGGUUAACAGAAAGGAGGAUGAUUCUGUAGCUCUGAUGUGAGCACCUGAAACCCUGCAGUCCCACACCCCACAAACUCCAACGCCGCCUAUAUAGCAUAUGGAGUAGUUUUAGCUUCAUGCCGGACAGUCCUACGGCCCCAGGGCUGGUGAGCUGGUUUAAUGCACUCUCAGCCUAAAAAGUCCCAAAUGAACCCUACGCCUCUCUGAAUUCUCUUGUUCUACAGGCACUGAAUACGUUCAUCAGAAACAGAAUAUUCAUUAACAUUUCGAAAGUGGAGCUGUGUCUUGGGCCUCCCCUACCAUUUACAACCCCGGGUCAGAAGUACCAAUGGAGAACCCUCGUUCCACUUUUCUUCCAAGCCCAGGCUCCGUCCUGUACCUCAAGGGGCAUUCAGCACACACUGACCAGUGUAUCCGAGCUCUUUGUCGCCCCAGCAGCAGCCCCUUGACCACCCUUCGGGCCUAGGGUGCAUAUUGCGGCCCACCACUCCCUCUGAAGAAUGGACCGUGGGGAGAGAAAUCCCCGAGAAAGAGCUGGCUCUGAGCAAAGAGGCAGGCAGCCAGAGGAGGGCCAGAACCAGGGCCUCUAAAGAGCAAGAGGUGCAGCAGGGCCCCGACUGCCCAGGUCUAGGAGAAUGCCUAACAGGGACAUCUAUUUGGGAAUGAUGAGGGGCUGGGGGGCAGGGAGGAAAAAUGCCUUUGGUUGAACAAAAUAAAUGGACUACUCUUGAUAGGGUGGAGAAUAAGAUGAUAGGUGAAUUUUCUCCUAUGGUGCUCAGACAUUCUUCAAAGUAAGCCAGAAUUGUAUUAGUUGGCUAUGCUUUCCUUCAAUGACAGACAAAUCCUGAAAUUCUGAGAGAAUAAUUUCGGGGUGGGACCCAGGGAUUUGCAUGUUAAGAACAGCCCAGGUGACCAUGAAGCCGACUGAUGGAUGUCCCAUGAACACGAAAUGGGGAAGUAGGGCAGAACCAUUAAAACUGCUUAUAAUCAAGUCAGGUAAACAAAAACAAAACCCUCUCAGAAUAGCAAUGGGUUCAUCACAGUAUGUUCACUGUAAUGAAAAAACACUAACUUUCUGGCUUCAUUUACUGGAUUUCUCUGCUCUCUCUCUCUGCCUCUGUCUUCACUAGGCUUCAGCAAUGGGCCUGCAGCAAACACAUGAGCAUUCCCGGUUGACUUCUAAAGGUGGAAAGGCCCGGCGGGUGUCCCUUUGAAAUCUCUGAGGUUGGAAAGCAGUCUCUCCCAAGAAGAACUUAGGACAGUUCCUCUGUCUGUUUUGUGGGGGUUGGAGGGGGAGAGUUGGUCAGGAGUAGCCAGCUUAUUUCCUACCCAUGCUCCUCAGGCUCAAAUCCUGCCCCACCCUGCAGCCCCAGUCCUAGCCCAUUUAAGACCCCUGUUUUGUGUGUGGUUAUACAGGAUUUGAACACUGAAUAUUAACCAUGGAAUAGCAGACCGUUGAGACUGACUUGCUUUAUUUUCCUCUGCGGAGUUAGGUUCCACUUUGUAGUUGGGGUUUGUAAUGUAACAAAUAAUGGGAAACUGGUCUAGUUAUGGGAGUUAAAGGAGAGCAGAGGCCUGUAGUUGGUCUGCCCCCCCGCCCCACCAUCCCUCAAAGUUGAGACCACUGAGUUGAUCAUCCUCUUAAUUUCUCUCACUUUUCCCCCAGAUUUGUUUCAUCCUGUACUGGACUUCUCAAACUGUACAUAAUUAAAAAUACAUAGCUUUACAUUUUUACAAACUUAAUACCUGAAUAUAUGCUUGUUGUCAAAUACUCAAACUUCACAGAAAGUUUUACAGAGUAAAAAGUGGAAGUUCAUGCCCACAUCCAAUCUCAUUCCUUCCCCAGUGGCAGCAGUUUGUGUGUCUAUUUCAAAUUAAAUUAGCAUACCAUAUGUUCUCUGAAAUGUGGGAAGUGAGCCGUUUUUCUUAGGGUAACCUAAAACCUACAGGACAAACUGGAUCAGCUUAUUUACUCUAUUGUGAUGGCUACGUUAAUAUUUAAAGUACAUAGUGAUAUGUGCCAUUGUGACCUUUCUGCUCAUCAAACAAUACUGCAUAAGUGUAGUUAAUACUUACGAUCAUUCUCAAGAGGCUUAAAAAUGUAAAUGUAUUUCCUUAUAUUUCACUAACAGUGAAACUUUUACCAUUUCUGAAAGCUGUCUUUCUGUUUAUUUUGCAGCUAAUCUCUUUGGAUUAAAAGAGGUUUCCAAAUCUGUGGUCAAUAUCUAAGGUUACUCAAAGCAGUAUUUUUAAACUGUUUUGGUCUCUUGAAAGAUUGGUCUCACUAAUUUUUUUAUCACCAUCAUACACUCUUCUGGAAUCAUAUAAUGAAGAUUUGAUGACAAGGAAUAUAGAAUUCAAAUUUUAGUAUAUCUGUUUGUAUUUUGUGUAUUUAGCAUAUUUACAUUUAUGUGUAAAUAAACAGAUGGUACUUUCGGUUCCCAUAAUUUAAUAAUUACUGUUCAGGCAUAUCUAAGGAGUAAAAUAGUUUCAACAAAAUAAGAGAGGCUUUGUAAAUCUUAUAUUUAAUUUCGAUAGGGAAAUAGGCAAUGAUACCAUUACUUGGUGAAUUAUUAUUUUAACUUUGAACAUCUUUGAGGCACAAAAAAUUCAAGAAUUUUUACAAACACAAACUUUAAAAAAAGAAGGAAUUAGGCUUGGAAAGUCCUCAAAUCUAGACUAAUAAAAGGUCGUAAAUAUCUCCUGGGACCAAAACAAAAAUACCACCAAAUGAUCUGUUUCAGAAGGAUGAAUAGAUAGUUGCUCACACAACUAAAAUCUAAACCAGGGUGAUAGUGGUAAGGUUGUGCCCACUGUGUAAGUAUUUUUAUUUAUUUAUUUAUUUUUGAGAGACAGUUUCACUCUGUUGCCCAGGCUGGCAU